GGUUAAGCGACUAAGCGUACACGGUGGAUGCCCUGGCAGUCAGAGGCGAUGAAGGACGUGCUAAUCUGCGAUAAGCGCCGGUAAGGUGAUAUGAACCGUUAUAACCGGCGAUUUCCGAAUGGGGAAACCCAGUGUGACUCGUCACACUAUCAUUAACUGAAUCCAUAGGUUAAUGAGGCGAACCGGGGGAACUGAAACAUCUAAGUACCCCGAGGAAAAGAAAUCAACCGAGAUUCCCCCAGUAGCGGCGAGCGAACGGGGAGGAGCCCAGAGCCUGAAUCAGCAUGUGUGUUAGUGGAAGCGUCUGGAAAGGCGCGCGAUACAGGGUGACAGCCCCGUACACAAAAGCGCAUGUGCUGUGAGCUCGAUGAGUAGGGCGGGACACGUGGUAUCCUGUCUGAAUAUGGGGGGACCAUCCUCCAAGGCUAAAUACUCCUGACUGACCGAUAGUGAACCAGUACCGUGAGGGAAAGGCGAAAAGAACCCCGGCGAGGGGAGUGAAAAAGAACCUGAAACCGUGUACGUACAAGCAGUGGGAGCCCCACCACUAAGCCAGUGGUGAACUCCACAUACGCAUCCUUUGCUGAGGAUACGGUUAACGGAGCGCAAGCGACGUUCAACCUCAAAAGAAGCAGAGGGGGCUUAGUGGUGGGGUGACUGCGUACCUUUUGUAUAAUGGGUCAGCGACUUAUAUUCUGUAGCAAGGUUAACCGAAUAGGGGAGCCGGAGGGAAACCGAGUCUUAAUUGGGCGUUAAGUUGCAGGGUAUAGACCCGAAACCCGGUGAUCUAGCCAUGGGCAGGUUGAAGGUUGGGUAACACUAACUGGAGGACCGAACCGACUAAUGUUGAAAAAUUAGCGGAUGACCUGUGGCUGGGGGUGAAAGGCCAAUCAAACCGGGAGAUAGCUGGUUCUCCCCGAAAGCUAUUUAGGUAGCGCCUCGUGAAUUCAUCUCCGGGGGUAGAGCACUGUUUCGGCUAGGGGGCCAUCCCGGCUUACCAACCCGAUGCAAACUGCGAAUACCGGAGAAUGUUAUCACGGGAGACACACGGCGGGUGCUAACGUCCGUCGUGAAGAGGGAAACAACCCAGACCGCCAGCUAAGGUCCCAAAGUCAUGGUUAAGUGGGAAACGAUGUGGGAAGGCCCAGACAGCCAGGAUGUUGGCUUAGAAGCAGCCAUCAUUUAAAGAAAGCGUAAUAGCUCACUGGUCGAGUCGGCCUGCGCGGAAGAUGUAACGGGGCUAAACCAUGCACCGAAGCUGCGGCAGCGACGCUUAUGCGUUGUUGGGUAGGGGAGCGUUCUGUAAGCCUGCGAAGGUGGCCUGUGAGGGUUGCUGGAGGUAUCAGAAGUGCGAAUGCUGACAUAAGUAACGAUAAAGCGGGUGAAAAGCCCGCUCGCCGGAAGACCAAGGGUUCCUGUCCAACGUUAAUCGGGGCAGGGUGAGUCGACCCCUAAGGCGAGGCCGAAAGGCGUAGUCGAUGGGAAACGGGUUAAUAUUCCCGUACUUGGUGUUACUGCGAAGGGGGGACGGAGAAGGCUAUGUUGGCCGGGCGACGGUUGUCCCGGUUUAAGCGUGUAGGUGUGUGUUCCAGGUAAAUCCGGUUCACUUUAACACUGAGGCGUGAUGACGAGGCACUACGGUGCUGAAGCAACAAAUGCCCUGCUUCCAGGAAAAGCCUCUAAGCAUCAGGUAACAUCAAAUCGUACCCCAAACCGACACAGGUGGUCAGGUAGAGAAUACCAAGGCGCUUGAGAGAACUCGGGUGAAGGAACUAGGCAAAAUGGUGCCGUAACUUCGGGAGAAGGCACGCUGACACGUAGGUGAAGUGAUUUACUCACGGAGCUGAAGUCAGUCGAAGAUACCAGCUGGCUGCAACUGUUUAUUAAAAACACAGCACUGUGCAAACACGAAAGUGGACGUAUACGGUGUGACGCCUGCCCGGUGCCGGAAGGUUAAUUGAUGGGGUUAUCCGUAAGGAGAAGCUCUUGAUCGAAGCCCCGGUAAACGGCGGCCGUAACUAUAACGGUCCUAAGGUAGCGAAAUUCCUUGUCGGGUAAGUUCCGACCUGCACGAAUGGCGUAAUGAUGGCCAGGCUGUCUCCACCCGAGACUCAGUGAAAUUGAACUCGCUGUGAAGAUGCAGUGUACCCGCGGCAAGACGGAAAGACCCCGUGAACCUUUACUAUAGCUUGACACUGAACAUUGAGCCUUGAUGUGUAGGAUAGGUGGGAGGCUUUGAAGUGUGGACGCCAGUCUGCAUGGAGCCGACCUUGAAAUACCACCCUUUAAUGUUUGAUGUUCUAACGUGGACCCGUGAUCCGGGUUGCGGACAGUGUCUGGUGGGUAGUUUGACUGGGGCGGUCUCCUCCUAAAGAGUAACGGAGGAGCACGAAGGUUGGCUAAUCCUGGUCGGACAUCAGGAGGUUAGUGCAAUGGCAUAAGCCAGCUUGACUGCGAGCGUGACGGCGCGAGCAGGUGCGAAAGCAGGUCAUAGUGAUCCGGUGGUUCUGAAUGGAAGGGCCAUCGCUCAACGGAUAAAAGGUACUCCGGGGAUAACAGGCUGAUACCGCCCAAGAGUUCAUAUCGACGGCGGUGUUUGGCACCUCGAUGUCGGCUCAUCACAUCCUGGGGCUGAAGUAGGUCCCAAGGGUAUGGCUGUUCGCCAUUUAAAGUGGUACGCGAGCUGGGUUUAGAACGUCGUGAGACAGUUCGGUCCCUAUCUGCCGUGGGCGCUGGAGAACUGAGGGGGGCUGCUCCUAGUACGAGAGGACCGGAGUGGACGCAUCACUGGUGUUCGGGUUGUCAUGCCAAUGGCACUGCCCGGUAGCUAAAUGCGGAAGAGAUAAGUGCUGAAAGCAUCUAAGCACGAAACUUGCCCCGAGAUGAGUUCUCCCUGAGACUUAAAGUCUCCUGAAGGAACGUUGAAGACGACGACGUUGAUAGGCCGGGUGUGUAAGCGCAGCGAUGCGUUGAGCUAACCGGUACUAAUGAACCGUGAGGCUUAACCUU
rnacentral:rRNA from 1 species